rnacentral:rRNA from 1 species
AGAAUGAACGUUGGCGGCGUGGAUUAGGCAUGCAAGUCGAGCGAGAACCCGCAAGGGGGACAGCGGCAAACGGGGUAGGAACGCGUAGGUUACGUACCCUCAGGUCGGGGAUAGCCACGGGAAACUGUGGGUAAUACCCGAUAAUAUCGAGAGAUCAAAGGUGUGAUUCCACCUGGGGAGCGGCCUGCGUAGUAUUAGCUUGUUGGUGAGGUAAUGGCUCACCAAGGCGAAGAUGCUUAGGGGGUGUGAGAGCAGUCGGCCCCCCACACUGGGACUGAGAUACUGCCCAGACACCGUAGGGUGCUGCAGUCGAGAUCGUCGGCAAGUGGGCGACAAGCCUAGGACCGAGGCACGCCGCGUGUGGGAUGGAAGGUCCCUUGGGUUACGUAAAACCACGUGUCGAAGGAGGGGUAUAGGAAA